rnacentral:sRNA from 1 species
CCAGGGCUGUCAGCACAAGUUUUGGUUGUCGUGUUAACAUAGGCAUAUGUUUGCAGGGUGCUUCAUGUCCGGAGACAACCACAGUUUAUGUUGAUAUGAGAGCUUUAAGAAAUGACAGAGUGACUUUGGUGGAGAAAGGAAGUCCACAUUCCUUGUGUCUACUGGAGUCUGGCAAACUUUUGCCAGGAGUUAAAGUAGCCAUUGCAAAUCCUGAAACUAAAGGGCAGUGUGCUGAUUCGCAUCUUGGUGAGGUAGGGCCACCAUGGUUUUGCUUUUCCUAGUGUUUUUUGUAACUGUAGCUUACCA